UGGAGGAAGUAAGACUGGCAAUGGCGAAGGAAGUAAGAGUAGCGGUGGAAACAAGGAAGGGAAGAAGGGAGGCACUUCAGUUGACGUAGGUGUAGGAAGCGAGUAAAGAUAGCGGUCCUAGUGUUUCUGCCGGUGUGAGUCACAAAGGGAACGGUUGGAGUGACGAUGUAAAAGGAACAGUAGAUUCUGAUGGAAACUGGGAAGCAAAGGCUGGUGUUUCUAUAGAACUUGGCAAGAGAAGUAUUCACUGGAACGGGCUUCAUUAUAUUGUGCGUGUACAUGCUGAUCAGUGUGACUUCCAAGUAUAUGAUGGUAACAAAGACGGCACGAUAGUUAAGAAUGAAAUGCAUGCCAUAUUUGAAGACAUCGCUAAAGCCGAAGAAUUAUUCGAUGCUUUGGAUAUAACAACAGGUGAUGGGCGGAUUGAAGAGGACGAAUUUUAUUUCAUGUCACGUGUUGUUAUAGAUGGAUGUGAUUCAAUGGAUAAACUGUAAAUGUACAAACAGUUCCGUUUCAUAUUAUUUGCCUUGAAUGAAUGACAGUUUAACGUCCGCACACAUAGAUUUUGAUUUGUAGAAAUGCAGAAAAUGCGAUCUAUUCGAUGUGUUCUAUUUUAGUUUUAUAUAAGUUCUAUAUACUAGUAUAUCUUUUGUCUGGAACAAGUCUGCGCGAAUACUCGAACAGCGAGUAGUAUCUCUAUAUCAGAUUUGUUUCAGUGACUUGUUUCUAUGUAUGCCACGUACGCAUACACAUACUGAGGUGUCAAUCUUCCUAUUCUUGCAAACACUAUGUUGACGGGCUGACUGAAACAAGCACAUGAAUAAUAUAUUUUCUAUUAAGUCGAAGAAAAUAUCUUGUUUACAUUUUUGUUAAGGACACAACUAAAGUUGCCAGUUACUGGCCGGUCAGUGAACUUAUGUGCACCAAACAGUGGGGUUGGCAUUGCCUUCACCUUAUAAGUCAGAUAGGUCAAACAUCAUUUUAGCACUCAGAAUAGCAUACUUUUAUAAAUGAAACAUCUUAAUGUUAUUUUGUCCUGAGACUGUGUUCAUGCCCAGAAAUGAUGCUGAAUAUUGAGAAGAUAUACGUGCAUUUCUGUAUUAGUGAAAGAAGGCGAGGGCAAAACACUUUUAAAAUACACACCCGUGAAUUUUAUAAUGUAUAAUUACAUUGAUCAGCAGAAAUAAUGCUACAGAUAUUUAUAUAAUGUUAUUAUAUUUAGUUCAGUCUCAAUAUUUCAAUAAUUUAUGAAAUUGUGAAAGUACUUAUUGAACUUUGCACAUCCUGUUUCUGUGUUUGUCAACCAUAAUUACUUGUACAGUGUAAACAUAUGAAAGAUAAAAUUUGUUCGUUUUGUUAAAAUAAACAACGAUGGUCAAAGCAAUCAAACUUUGUUGUAUUUCGUAUUAUAGCUUGUAAUUAGAACGAAUCACCUAUGGUAUGGUCAGUGGGUUGGCUAUUUAUCUGACUAUUGACAAACGAAAUACUGUUAUCUACCGAAUGGAGGAGUUUGUGCAG
rnacentral:lncRNA from 1 species